AACACAGCUCGAGAUCAGAAAGAAAGCAGGGGUCCGAACGCAGCCCGGGAUCAGGAAGAAAGCAGGUCGUUUGCAAUCUACCGGAGCCUAAGGGCAGAAGGCAGGAUAUUAAUAACAAUUUCACAGGCUGGGUGAACACAGCCGGCGAUGCUGAAAUUAUUAUCAUCCUCUCCCCCUCUUCCCCUCCUGGCUCUCAGUCCCCGCCUCACGGGUUAUGUAGCGGGUUAUGGCAAGAAGACAAACUGCAGUUUCCUGCACAGAACAGCACAAACAAUGAUCCAAGCUCAGUUACAACACAAUAUUGGUCAUCAUUUGACCAUGGACUUCAAUAUCAACCCUUAGAAACCUUCCUAAAACAGGUCAGCAAAACACCAAGAAGCAAUAUCCUGAAUGAUAGGAAAAUAUCCUUGCUUGUGCAAAUUGUUUCCACUUAAUUUUUUUCAACAAAUGUUAAUUAUAUUUUUACUUUCUAAAAAUUUUUAAUAAAAUAUAGCCUACUUGGUUAAAAAUGGUGUCAAAGCUUUUCUAAAAGUUAAGGCAUUACAUAAUUCAGUGGCCCCUGUGGCUGCCAUGGAUAAUUCUUUUUUUUCUGUUCAUCUUCAAAGAAGGGAAUUCAGAAUCAGGAAAAGAUCUUUGGAAAUUCAUUAGCAUAUGG
rnacentral:lncRNA from 10 species